AGGAAACGUUCCAAAAAGGAUCGUUACUUGCAAAAAAAAAAUGUUAGUAAAACAUUGUUCAUAAAAUUAUUAACCGAGUUUACCAAUCUCGUGAAGCUCAUUUUAAUUAGCCUUUACUUUUUUUUUCUUUAAAAAAGCAAAUUACUGUUUUUUGAUGAUUGAUUUUGUCUCUGUUAAGAAAAAUAUGCUUUAUAGUUGGUGCACAAAAUGGUCUCACUGACGUAUCUUCGUCGUUCGAAUGUUUAUUGCGAAACCAAUAACGUUUCUGUGUCGUUUGGCAAAUUGCGCACCAAACAAAACGUCCAGCCGUCGUUUUCGGGUAGACUGUUUUGGCCUGAACCUCAAUAGCGUCGUCCCGGAGUACAAAAUUACCGAAGAUGAAUACUUUUUUUGUUGUUAAAAUACUCUCAAAAUAAGGUUUUCUGUCUUUUCGUGAUUGCAGAAUCUUGGUUACCCGGUCAAUGAAAUUUUGGAAAAAUCGAACGCUUGUUAUUAUUGCGGAGGUUGUGACAACCAGCACGAUUUUCUUUCUGUUUGCUAUUACCACACGAUGCAUAUAAAUAUAUCACGACUGAUAUUGACGUACAUGUACAUGUAUGUGCAAUUUUAAAAAGUCACUUCGAUGAUCUCUUUUUCGCAAGGGAUUUCUGGAAGGGUCGAACUAGACGCGUAUUUGUUCGUCAAUUCUUGCAAAUGAUUCGUAGUACUUUAACAUACAAUUUACCAAUAGUAUUUAUAGAUCAUCCGUGUAAGUAAAGGCCAUAGCAUUUAUGGGGAAGAAAUAAUACCGUUCAUUAGUAUCGGUAGUUGCCGAUCGCCGUCGUGUCGCACAUCAUACACCCACAAAACGGGUCCGAGCUAUCACAAUGGCCUUUGUAUUUGAGUGGGGAAACCCAAUGAUGUCACAGCGAUGAGUCAUCGAUGGACGACAAACAUGAUGACCAGUCCACCAGUCCAGACUUGUCCAGUCUUCCACUCCGAAUACGCGUGCGGUGUUCUCGAAUGUUCCCAAGCACAUUCCCAGUGACGUCACAGCGAUGAGUCAUCGAUGGACGACAAACAAGAAGACCAGUCUGGACUUGUCCGAUCGUCCAGUCCGAAUUCGUGGUGUUUUUACACACUCUAUGUGCACAAUCGAUCGGCGGUGCGAACAUUCAACGUCAGCUGAAUGUUUGGUGUGCAUCGACAAAACGACAAGGUGACCGCACUUUACGUCCGCGUUUUUAUCUCAUCCAGUCCCGAAUCUCCUGAACGAUCGCACAAAUUCAAGGGUCCACCUCUCAUCAGCAUGUCCACCACUGUGAUCAAAGGAAGAAGCGGAGUUAUAGUGCACACUCAAGUGACAUAAGACAUUUAGGCUCCAUAACAAGUCAUUCAAGAAUCGCAUUAAAAUUUAUUUGUCAUUGUUAUAUAUCUUAAAUUUUAAUCGAAUUUAUUUCGUUCUUUUGUAAAAGAAUUGAGUUGAGUUACAUGUACUAGUGCAUAGGCCUUUGAGAUAAACCACGCCAACGUAAAAUCGUUGUGUAUCUCGCUAAAGAAAAA